UACAGAGGUCUCAAGCGUUGUUCGGAUUCAUUGGGCGUAAAGGGUGCGUAGGUGGCGCCAUAAGUCAGGUGUGAAAUCUCGGGGCUCAACCCCGAAACUGCACUUGAUACUGUGGUGCUCGAGUACUGGAGAGGAGAUUGGAAUUUACGGUGUAGCAGUGAAAUGCGUAGAAAUCGUAAGGAAGACCAGUGGCGAAGGCGAAUCUCUGGACAGUUACUGACACUGAGGCACGAAGGCCAGGGGAGCAAACGGG
rnacentral:rRNA from 1 species